UAGCUCAGUUGGUAAAGUAUCUGCCUGCAGUGCAGAAGAACUGGGUUCAAUCCCUG
rnacentral:tRNA from 1 species